GCAGUGAUGUUUGGGUUACUAUUGUUCCUGCAGCUUUUCUGUUAUCAAUAGGCUGAUGAGACUUGUGGAAGCUGAGUCACUUGGAGCUAUGGUGUGGAUGCUGUGUUCAAUCAGGGUUCCUGUGUGGAAACUUAACCUCCAGAUAGUAACAGUAUCAACAGGGAAAAUCUCUGGGGGAUGAUUGGGCCAUGAGGAUUCCUCCUGAUCAAGAGCCAGGACACUUGUAACUGAAGACUAGGGGAACCUGUCUGGGGACUCAGCAAGAAGGUGCAAGAGAUCAAGCCCUCACCAGACAUGGAACUUGCUGCCAUCUUGAUCUUGCACUAGCUUGCCUCCAAAGCUUUAAGUCACCAACUUCUGUUGUUUAUACAGUACCCAGACUAAGAUAUUUUGUUAUAGCAGCAGGAACAGACUAAGAUAGAAGUCUCUUUGUCUAUCCCAUGGGAGUGGAAAGUGGAGCUCUGGAAGCAUUAAUAUAGGAAGAUUCAACCCCAGUCAGAAUGGAGGUCACUUUCUCUCCAGCUGCCUCCUAGGGCACCUUUGAUCUCAUAACCGAGAAGCCACCUCAGUAAACCUGACUGGCCUGAGAGUGACUGGAUCCUGCUCAGUGCAAAGGGGUACCAAUGGUUCCUCCUGGUCCCUACCUCACUCUAUGCAGGGAUGCUGGAAGAAUCUUUAGACUGGUUCUAAAGAACUUGGGAUUUCCUAGGCCCUGUUCUUCCCCCUUGCCCUACCAACUCACCCGACCAACCAGAAGGGAGUUUGGAGUACCCCAGCUCUUGAGAACAGUGACUCUGCCCACUGGAAGGCAGGAGGGACAGGAGGCUCACAGACCAGAGGUUAAGUUCAUCUCUGCAGUUCAAUGUGUGGGAUCCAACAUGCCUGCAGUCAUGAGCGCCCUUCUGCGAUAUCAGUCUUACCAGGG